AGGGUUCGAUUCUGGCUCAGGAUGAACGCUGGCGGCGUGCUUAACACAUGCAAGUCGAACGGGAUCCAUCAGGCUUUGCUUGGUGGUGAGAGUGGCGAACGGGUGAGUAAUGCGUGACCGACCUGCCCCAUACACCGGAAUAGCUCCUGGAAACGGGUGGUAAUGCCGGAUGCUCCAGUUGAUCGCAUGGUCUUCUGGGAAAGCUUUCGCGGUAUGGGAUGGGGUCGCGUCCUAUCAGCUUGACGGCGGGGUAACGGCCCACCGUGGCUUCGACGGGUAGCCGGCCUGAGAGGGCGACCGGCCACAUUGGGACUGAGAUACGGCCCAGACUCCUACGGGAGGCAGCAGUGGGGAAUAUUGCACAAUGGGCGCAAGCCUGAUGCAGCGACGCCGCGUGCGGGAUGACGGCCUUCGGGUUGUAAACCGCUUUUGACUGGGAGCAAGCCCUUCGGGGUGAGUGUACCUUUCGAAUAAGCACCGGCUAACUACGUGCCAGCAGCCGCGGUAAUACGUAGGGUGCAAGCGUUAUCCGGAAUUAUUGGGCGUAAAGGGCUCGUAGGCGGUUCGUCGCGUCCGGUGUGAAAGUCCAUCGCUUAACGGUGGAUCCGCGCCGGGUACGGGCGGGCUUGAGUGCGGUAGGGGAGACUGGAAUUCCCGGUGUAACGGUGGAAUGUGUAGAUAUCGGGAAGAACACCGAUGGCGAAGGCAGGUCUCUGGGCCGUCACUGACGCUGAGGAGCGAAAGCGUGGGGAGCGAACAGGAUUAGAUACCCUGGUAGUCCACGCCGUAAACGGUGGAUGCUGGAUGUGGGGACCAUUCCACGGUCUCCGUGUCGGAGCCAACGCGUUAAGCAUCCCGCCUGGGGAGUACGGCCGCAAGGCUAAAACUCAAAGAAAUUGACGGGGGCCCGCACAAGCGGCGGAGCAUGCGGAUUAAUUCGAUGCAACGCGAAGAACCUUACCUGGGCUUGACAUGUUCCCGACAGCCCCAGAGAUGGGGCCUCCCUUCGCACGAGUCUCACCUUAGACGGCUCCCCCCAAAAAAGGU
rnacentral:rRNA from 1 species